rnacentral:rRNA from 1 species
UACGAGGGGGGCAAGCGUUGUUCGGAAUUAUUGGGCGUAAAGAGCUCGUAGGCGGUUUGUCGCGUCUGCUGUGAAAACCCGAGGCUCAACCUUGGGCCUGCAGUGGGUACGGGCAGACUAGAGUGCGGUAGGGGGAGAUUGGAAUUCCUGGUGUAGCGGUGGAAUGCGCAGAUAUCAGGAGGAACACCAAUGGCGAAGGCAGAUCUGCUGGGCC